rnacentral:ncRNA from 1 species
GAAAUAUUUGGUUCUGGUAUAAUGUCAGCCUUGAGUUACUUAAAAUACACAAUGUAGGAUAUUUUCAUAAUGUGCUAAGUAAAUAAAAGAGAUAAACUAAAGUAAGUACCUAAAAGGUAAAAAAGUAGUGUAGGCAUAAGUUUAAAACGAUAACGCUAAAAUAAUCACAACUCAAGUGGAUAGUCCUGGAUUCAAUGAGUUUAUGCUUGAAACGAACGGAAAACUGAUAAAUGUAAGCUAAAUGGGGUGCCAGCAGCUGCGGUCAGUCCCUUUUAAGUAGGCUGACAGAGGUGCAGCCUAGAGGCGGUUAGUCAGAUUAAGUUAGUAAGACAUACAUCAAGUCUAAGGAGGUGAAAUUCCGUAAAACUUGAAGGAGGGCCAUAGCUUGCAUAAAGAUGAACCCGCAAAGUUAUGGGUAUAGACCCGGAUUAGAUACCCGGUUAUUCCAUAAUGUCACGUACGGUUGUUUUAAUGUAUAAAUAAUCUGCUAGGAGUACUACGAGCAAAUGCUUAAAACUCGAAGAACUUGGCGGUUCCACAAAACCAUCCAGAGGCUCUUGGCGCUUAAUCCGAUGGUCCGCGUGAUAUCUCACCCAUUUUAUAUAGCAAUGUACUGCCGUCGAAAGCUUAUAAUGUAAGUGAGUAGAAACAAGCCUUGCCUUAAAGUUCUAAGUUCUAAUCAGAAUUUUAAGACUAGGUCAGGUCGAAGUGUUCUUUAUAAAUGAGGGGUUAGCUGAGAGACAAAUUUUAAGACAUAGCAAGCUUGAAAAUGAAAUUUUUUAAGUAAGGAGGAUUUGGGAGUAAAAAAAAAGUAACUCAUUUUUUUGAAACGACGAAACUGUGGUGCGUACAAAUCGCCCGUCACCCUAGCUGAAAGGAGAGGUAAGUCGUAACAUGGUAAGGGUAGGGGAACCUGCUCUUAUGAUAUA